rnacentral:rRNA from 1 species
AUUGAACGCUGGCGGCAUGCUUUACACAUGCAAGUCGAACGGCAGCGCGGGCUUCGGCCUGGCGGCGAGUGGCGAACGGGUGAGUAAUGCAUCGGAACGUGCCCAGUAGUGGGAGAUAGCCCGGCGAAAGCCGGAUUAAUACCGCAUACGGCCUGAGGGUGAAAGCGGGGGACCGAAAGGCCUCGCGCUAUUGGAGCGGCCGAUGUCGGAUUAGCUAGUUGGUGGGGUAAAGGCUUACCAAGGCGACGAUCCGUAGCUGGUCUGAGAGGACGACCAGCCACACUGGGACUGAGACACGGCCCAGACUCCUACGGGAGGCAGCAGUGGGGAAUUUUGGACAAUGGGGGCAACCCUGAUCCAGCCAUGCCGCGUGCGGGAAGAAGGCCUUCGGGUUGUAAACCGCUUUUGUUCGGGAAGAAAUCCUCUGGGCUAAUACCCCGGGGGGAUGACGGUACCGGAAGAAUAAGCACCGGCUAACUACGUG